CCUACGGGUGGCUGCAGUCGAGAAUCAUUCGCAAUGGGCGAAAGCCUGACGAUGCGACGCCGCGUGUAUGAAGAAGGCCCUCGGGUUGUAAAGUACUUUCGCUAGGGAACAAGAGAUGCUGACUAAUAUUCAGCAGAUUUGAGGGUACCUGGUAAAGAAGCACCGGCUAACUCCGUGCCAGCAGCUGCGGUAAUACGGAGGGUGCAAGCGUUAAUCGGAAUUAUUGGGCGUAAAGGGCGCGUAGGCGGGAUGGUCAGUCAGUUGUGAAAGCCCAG
rnacentral:rRNA from 1 species